rnacentral:lncRNA from 1 species
AAAAACUGCAAAUGUUUUUUUUGUAGUAGCCAUCCUAAUGGGUACAAAGAGAUAUCUCAUUGUGGUUUUGAUUUGCAUUUCCCUGAUUUAAUGAUGUUGAACACCUUUUCACGUGAUUAUUGGCUGUUGGUAUGUCUUUGGAGAAUUGUCUAUUGCAGUCCUUUUCCCAUUUGUAAACCGGAUUAUCUUGUUUUUUUUUUGUUACUGAGUGGUAAGAGUUCCUUUAUGUUCUGGAUAUUAACUCCUUAUUAGAUAUGUGGUUUGCAGAUAUGUUCUCCCAUUCUGUAUAUUGUUCCUUCUUACUCUGUCAUUUGCUUCCUAUGUUGUGCAGACAUAUUAAAAUUUGAUGUAAUUUAUUUGUCUGAUUUUGCCUUUGUUGCCUGUGCUUUUGGUGUCAUAUCCUAGAAGUCAUUGCAAAAUCCAGUGUCGGGAAGCUUUUCCCCUAAGUUUUCCUCUAGGAGUUUUCUAGUUUCAAGCCUAUACAUUUAGGUCUUUAAUCCAAUGUUAGCCCUUUCUUAAUGAGUUCUUUGUAUUUUGGGCAGGGGAUAAGUCUUUCUUUAAUGUAACUGUCAGGAAUUUACUAUAUUUAACUUUUUCCUUCUUCCUUCCUCCCCUCUUUCCCUCCCUCCUUCCCUUCCUCAUUCAUUUCCUCCUUCCCUCUCUUACGGCUUGAAGAUAAUGGAAUCACUCAGGUUUUGUUCGUAACUGGUAAGGUUUUAGUUAGUAGGAUGAUAAUUCAUUUUCAACAGCACUUUCUUGUUUGUUCAUUGGUUAGCAGGAAGAAGAUGAGCCGUAAGUCUGAACGCCAAGGAAUUCAUGUGGAUCCUGUGCAAGAAAGGAUGUGGUUACUGUGGCAAUCCUACCUGGCAGGGUUUCUGCUCCAAGUGCUGGAGGGAAGAGUAGCACAAAGCCAGGCAGAAGCAGAUUCAGGAGGACUGGGAGCUGGUGGAACGACUCCAGCGGGAGGAAGAAGAGGCCUUUGCCAGCAGUCAGAGCAGCCAAGGGGCCCAAUCCUUCAUAUUCUCCAAGUUUGAAGGAAAGAAAACCAACAAGAAGACCUGCAAGGUUACCACAGUGAAGAAAUCUUCAGUACGUCUUCCAGGGUCAGAUCAAAGAAGGAUAUCAUUGAAAUGGAUUCCAGGCGUGUGCCUCGAGACAAGCUGGCCUGCAUCACCAAGUGCAGCAAGCACAUCUUCAAUGCCAUCAAGAUCACCUAGAACGAGCCGGCGUCAGCAGAUGACUUCCUCCCCACCCUCAUCUACAUUGUUUUGAAGGGCAACCCCCCACGCCUUCAGUCUAAUAUCCAGUAUAUCACGCGCUUCUGCAAUCCAAGCCGACUGAUGACUGGAGAGGAUGGCUACUAUUUCACCAAUCUGGUGAGUAAGUGAGUUCUUGGCGUUGUGGAGAAGGACUAGGAAGGUGGUGGUUUUGGGGAUGUGAUAGGUCACUCAGGCCCGUGACAGGUGAAUGCUUCUGUGUGAGAAAGCAGCACGGCUGAGGAAGCUCACUUUGUAUCAGGGAGCCCAAAGACCAGGCCGUACAGACACUCCGCCUCCCAGCACUUGAUCAGAGAUUGUGUUCAUCCUACGGAAACAGAUGACAUGUGUUGGGCAUCACUCCCCACGGUCCUGGGUAGAAGAGUCCUUCACUUGGCAGGGCUUUUUCAACCAUGAAUAAGGCAAAUUAUAUAUAAGUUAAUAAUGCCAUUUCGAACCGAGACAGAUGGCAGCUAAAUGAAGUUUAAUUAAAGAAUGAGUGCUGGGGCCCUUUUUACUGGGUACUGCAUCUACUUUGACCACAAAAGACGAAGUGACCCCAACUUCAAGAACAGGCUUUGAGAUGGAAGAAAGAAACAGAAGCUUGCCAAGGAGAGAGCUGGGCUUUCCAAGUUACCUGACCUUAAAGAUGCUGAAGCUGUUCAGAAGUUCUUCCUUGAAGAAAUACAGCUUGGUGAAGAGUUACUAGCUCAAGGUGAAUAUGAGAAGGGCAUAGACCAUCUGACAAAUGGAAUUGCUGUGUGUGGACAGCCACAGCAGUUACUGCAGGCCUUACAGCAAACUCUUCCACCACCAGUGUUCCAGAUGCUUUUGACUAAGCUCCCAACAAUUAGAGAAUUCUAAGUGCUCAGAGCUUGGCUGAAGAUGAUGUGGAAUAAGAAACAAAUGUCAACAUAAUAAAAUCUCAGUUAAAAAUAUUUUAAAAAUUCUUGGUAGUUGAGCAGCUCUGGGGGAAUAAGGGCAAAUAUCCUUGUUAUGAACUAUACUGAAAUCUACCAAAGUUAAUGUUUACUUUGUGUAGGUCCAUUUGUCUAUUUUAUUUAUU